CCGUUGAAGUGGUUGUAAUAGAUGUUGAAAACCAAAGCAGGUUGGAUCCAGAGAAGAGCAGAGGGGAGCUGAAACCUACUCGCCACUUUCGGAGCCCAGUUGAGGAGCAUCGUGUAGACCAAGCAAGUCACCGGAGAGUCACCGUUCUUGUUACCUUCGAUGAACUCCGACAGGGCUUUCUCGCCGUUGUUCUUGAGGUUCAGAGACCGGCUCUUAAUCUCUUCGGCGGUGGUAAGGCCUCCUUGGUCGAAGCCGUCGGAGAAAGCAAGGAAAGAGAGGUUGUUGUCAAGGUCGCUGUGCUUAGAUAUCAUGGAGCGGUGGAAGACGGAGACGCACGUGACGAAAGUGACACGUGCGCCGGUGGUUCUGAUGAGGCGACGAGCGAAAUGGAGAGAUGGGUUCACGUGGCCUUGAGCAGGGAACGUUACGAGUAGAAAGUGUGGUGGUGGUGCCAUUAAUUGUUGUUUGUUUUGUUCUUCACACUGAAGUUAAUGAAGUCCAAUACAAGAUUAUAUGUCUCUUGGAGUCUUGGGGUUGUUAUAUAUAUAUAUAGGGAGAGAGAGAGAUGUGUAAUUAAAUUUUGAUACAUGGUCAGGUAUGCAUGCACAUGCAAUGUAUACGUCUUCAUCAAAAAGAUACGCAAAACUGUAUCAGACUGCUUGUGACGUCUGUGGUGACGCUCGCUGGUUUGUAUGUACCCUUUGGCCUUCUUCGUGUAAAAAUCCAAAUUUGCGUUUGCAGACUUUGACAUUGACGUAUGAUUGGAGAUGCAAACAUUUAACUCUGUUUCCCUUUACAGCUGACAAAUUGUUGUAGUUUUGUUUGAAAGUAAAGAUGCUUGCUACCCUUUUUAAUUCACCAACCCCGUUUAAUUAUUGUUGUUUUUUUCACAUAGAUUAAAAUGAUAAUUAAAUUUAAUACACUUUUUUGCUUAUACAAUUUCCUUUUAAAUAUAAGUUCUAAAACAGUGACAGACUUACAGUUAUUAUAAACUAAAAUAUUACAUUUUUAAUAAAAUUGUUUUUAAACAAAGCUAAACCCUAGGAUCAUUCUAAUGGUUUAUUCUAUUAUUUUCAAAAUAGAAUAGAAUUCAACACUAAUAGUAUUUUAUUUUAGAGUGAAAAUCGAGUAAUAAACAAAAAAUAAAAAAAAAUUAUUCUAUUCAUAGAAUAAAUCCAAUUUUUAUUUUAUUAUAGAAUGUAAAAUAUAAUACUAAGUUAAAGAUAUUAGAAGUCUGUCUGCUACUGCUAGAACGGAAACCCCUAAGUUAUCUUAUUUCAAACAAGACUAGUUUGAUAUUGCUAAUGUGUCAUAAUUAAUGUUUGUCCUUGUUAGAUCUUCAAAUUUCUAGUAUUCUUCUUCUACGAUGUAAUAGAUUGCAAAUCAUUAUUAAUAAAACAAAGUGUUAAAAAAAUGUAAAAUAUAAUAUUAUUAGAAUAUUUUUAUUCUAAAUUCUAUUUUAGAAUGAAAAAUAAUAUUCCAAAUUCUAUUUUAGAAUGAAAAAUAGAAACUGCUCAGAGAUGCUUUUAAAAAAAUAUAUUAACAAAGAACACGGUAAACGUGAGCAAAUAAUUACUCUAUCGUUAUCAUCAUUCAUGACGUGUACAGUGUACUAGAAAACGAUAUAUCAUAUGUGGAGAAGUUCAAAUGAUUAACAUGUUCUUGAGUCUUUUAAAUCAGCGGGGAAAUGUUAAGAGAUACGUCUAACUUUCCUCCAUGCAAUGAUUGACCUGCUAGUGAAUGAACCGAAAAAAGAAAGAAGAAACAUAGUUGUAUGAUGGUUAUAAGGCUGACGGUUAUAAGGCUUAACUUUCUUAAUGUAGAUAACUUGUGAAUCAAGCAACAUAUAACCAUUAAUUUAUAUUUACAUAUGUUAUGUAUCACUCCUUGUUUUUGGAAGACCUGUCUUUUCUGUGACCACCAAGAAUACGAGAAAUUUGAAGACCUCUGCUAAACGCUUGGUUAAAGAGCAUUCUUGUCUGGAACUCGGACACAAAAGGAAACCAAGCCAAGAAAGCAACCGGCGUGAAGAGAAGCAAUCCCAUCACGAUCUCAUAGCCACGUGCUAGCGUCCUAACCGAUGACCAUAUCCUUAGAUGUUGGAUCAGAGGCUUACAAGCUUGCGCAAUCUGAUGAAGAGGACAAAACAAACGAAACCAAUGUCACAAAACCAGACAAGAGAGGAGUUUGAUGGAAGAGAAAUAUACUUACAAGAAGCAUUCCCCAGCCAGUUGGCAUGAAGGCAAGCAUGCAGAUGAAUAAGUCUUUGAUUGUUAUCAGAGGAAGUGCCAGGAGAGUUAUGAGAAUUGUAACAAAUGCGAGGAACACAAGACCCUUUAUGAUUCUGAAUAGAAGCUGGAAACUCGUGCUGAAUCUUCUCCUUCCCAUCCCCAAACCCUGCAAUGAUCAUUACACUACAUAAGUAGGGCCGGCUCUCAGAUUUAUAGGGCGAUUUAUUAAAGAUUUCAACUAAAAUUAUUUUUUACAAAUUUGGGAGCCUAAAAUUUUUUUCGGAAGUGCCUAUCUCUAUAUAACUUUUUUCAAAAACUUUGGGGCCAAAGCCAAUGUUUUAUUCGGCUUUGUCCAAGAUCGGCCUAAAUUCUCAAUGAAAAUCAACUGAGAAUGUGAAUAAAAAGAUUCAUACCUUCACAAUGAGUAGAAGGAAUAAGAUGACAAACCAUGAAGCUCCAUAAACCUGAAAACACACCAAUUCUCAUUAAUCAAAUUCAUUAAUCAACUAUUUAGAGUUAUAAGCUUAUAGCAUUACCCAAAAGCUUUGAUUCUUCCCUUUAAAGAUACUGAGCUGAUACACAAGCCCAUACUGAAAUAUAAAGAACCUCAACGCCAAGAAAAUCUCAAGUACAAUACCGCGGACCCCCGAGUGCUUAAGAUGCUCCAACUCUUUCUCCCACCAAGACUCCCAACUCUUCUCAGCCGGAACACCGAUCCCUCCCCUGUUGUAUAUCCACUUGUUCCAGUCCGUCCAGUCAUCAACGAUCUUCUGCCACUCGAAGCCAGAGGGAUUAAACAAAAAGGGGGCAAACAGCCACGUCACCACCAUGAACCAUAUCGAAACAGUGAUGAGAAUAUAAGUCACAACGCCCCGGUAAGAUUGACCAAAGAGCUGAUACACUAGCAAGAGAAUCAUCAGCUCGAUGCCCUUCACGAAGUGGCUGCGGGAAUAAAAUCUAUAGUUCUCGGCGAAUUUGGCGUGGAAGACAACAAAGCCGCGGCCUGUUCCUCUGUACUCAGCGCCUCCGUGGAACAGUGUCCUUCCGUAGUAAUGCGUCUUUGUGCCGAGCUGGAACGUGAAGAAGACAGAAGCGAGUUGUAGCUGCAUCAGGACAAACUCGAUUAGUGCGUUGUGGAAGCCUCUUUCGAGUCCAAUCUCCAUCAUCAUAGGGAGAGCCAUUAGAAAACCGAUCUGCACGAAUGAUUGGGAAGCGAGAGCUGCCUCGAGAGGCCUGUUGUUACGGAAAGCUCGUUGGUUGCUUAACCCUUGUUCAAGCCCACUGAGUACUAGGUAUAACCGGCCGUAGAGAAAGACAUAUACUGUAAGCACUGUUAACUGUCAAAAACACACACAGAAAAUGGCUUCAGACAUAGACAUCUAAUGAUUGAGACCAAUGUUCAAGAAAUGGCUAAGCAUUAACUAGAUGCUCUGUAGACUUUAACAAAUUAUUAAUUUAUUUUAUAAACAUUUUACAUUUAUAUCAAAUAUUUUAGUUUUUGGUUUAAUUAUAAAAUUAUUUUGAUGAAUUAUUAAAUUAGAUAUACAAAAUAAAAGAAAUUAGAUAAAUUCGUGAAUUUUUACUAACAUUAUUAUUUAAUUUAACAUAUUUAUACUAAUUUAAAUCGAUCUAAAGCGCUUUAGAACGAUUUAAAAUGGUUUAAACCGAUUUGAGUCUUAUAAAUCAGAUUUUAAGAAAAUCGUUUAUUUGCCACCUGGACCGACUUUUAAAACCUUGACUGAGACAGAAAAGGGAAAAACUCAACUUACCAUGGUACUGAAAUAGAAACCAAUGGUGGUGAAAUAACAAGACAGCAUCCGGAAGAAAUCAAAACGGUGUCCCAGUCUGUACAAGUCGCGGCUCAGAGUUUGCUCACCGUUUCCAUUGGCGAUUUUGGCCUCAAACAUUGAGAUCUGGUUGAGUCCCACGUCUCUCCCUUUACCGACUUGUAUAUAUUCAUGAUGAGUUACGUUUCCUUCACGCAGAGUUGAGUUAAAACCUGAAAGCAGUAAUCAGAGGUAUGAGAUAAUGAAAACUACAUGAAGUUACACUAGAAGAGAUCAAGCAAGUAGACCUGCAAAGAUGUCUUCACUAAGGUUGAUGACUUUAGAAGCUUUGCAGAUACCACCUCUGGUAAGGUGAAACAGACGAUCAUUAAACAAAAAGGGGGCAAACAGCCACGUCACCACCAUGAACCAUAUCGAAACAGUGAUGAGAAUAUAAGUCACAACGCCCCGGUAAGAUUGACCAAAGAUUAACUUUGACAAUCACAAUAUCCACAUAUUUCACAAUAGGGAUGAUAAUACUUACUUUAAGGGACUAGCUAGCACCCUUUGCCCAAUCGUUACAAAGCUGUUCUCCUGAUUUGACAUAAACCAUGCAAGAGAAGACACACUGGGCCACAAGAAACCACAGACAUAGGAGAUCAAUAUUGUCUAAACAAUCUAAAAGAGAGAAACUAGAUCAUCCAGUAAGUACCUUCCAGUGAAAAUAUGCUCUCUGAGACCAAGAAUGGUAGGGAAUCUCACGCCUCCAUGCUUAACAAGAAACUCUUGCAGCAAGUUCCUCAUUUUGAAAGCUUCCUCCAUAUAGUUAUCCUAUUUUGUCAAGUCUUUAGAGGUUAAGAGUCCCCAUGAUGCUCAUUUUUUAACUACUCAUAAGCAUAAAUGAGAUUUAUUCGGUGACACAUCCUAGACAAAAGAAAAUUAAUGCAACGCACCUGGUUCAUGUCAAUUGUUUGCAACCCUUCUCCACGUGUAAAAAUGAUAGCAUGGUUCUGAUUUUCCGGCUUUCCCUCUCCUAGUAUAGCUGGCCCCGGAAGCUUAAUCCUAUAAAUGAGCUGAAAGAAAAGAAAUAUAAACUCAGUCUCUCCACAAAGUAGAGCAAUAGCAUCAAAUAUCCUCUGAUCUCAUCUUUGUAGUUUAGAAAACACACAAGAGUCCACUGGUUUGAACAGCAUCAAUACUCAUUUAGGUACCUGAUCUAGUGUUUGAACAGAUUCAGAAGAAUCCAUUGGUUUGGUCUGUGGAGCAGCUUUCACAAGAGCUGAGUAAUAAAUCUUUUCCUCUGUCCCCUUAUAACUUUCUUUAUGUGUUUGCUCCACCUCAUCAAUAUAAGCAACACGAAUAGACGGAUACCUAACACAAGAGAAUAAAGGCUAAGAAAUUAAUAACAAAGAAGAUCAAAGGAUGAAAAACAAUGAGGACAUUACGUUGUCAUAAGUCUCAAUAUGUCUUUAGCACGUUGGUCACCAGAUCUCUUAUGAAUACUGUAUUGCUGGCAGGAAACCACAAAGGUGAAUUUCAUAUCCGCAAGUGCCUGACACUGUGCCCAUAGUGACUCUCCACUCUUUGAUGCUUCUUCACUGGUUAACUCCAGAGCCUUGUAGCCUUUCAAUAAUUCUAAAAACAGAAAGGUAGUUUAAGGAGUGCUUUCACACUUGACAAGAAUCAAAGGAAACCACAGUGGAGAUUAUUCAAGUACCUUCAUCCUUUGCCAUGUCAAGGAAGGCCUGAAGUUCCAAAGCCUUUCGAUAGUACAUCAUGCCUCGCACUUGUUGAAACAAAUCAAAAGAAUCAGGACAACAGGUUUAUUACUCCAGUUAUAAAAAUGAAGAGAGGACACUAAAGUCUACAAUACAUACCAGUUUUAGUCAGAGUUUGGCCUCUGUAAGAUGCCCAUAGACGAAGCUCCUCUUCCAAAUCAUCUUUUGUUCUUAGUUCUUCUUCGCUGCCACAUUUAACUCGUUCCAGGAAGUUCGUCCAUUCGUCUGAUGUAAGCCAUGAACUCAGCUGUUACCUCAAAUACAAUUAUAGCGCCAUGUGAAAAAAGGAGAGAAAAGUGAAACCUGGGAAGAUCUUCUGCAAGUAAAAAAGUAUGGAGACUCCAUCUUCAUUUUGCUGUUCUAAACCAAAUAUGGAGAAAAGAACAUCCUCUGAAAAGUAUGGUGUUAGGACCCUACGAACAAAAAGAAGAAGCAAAAUGGGAGUUGUUAAGAUAGAGUAAGGCUAAAGCUUUCCACAUUCAUUUACUGCUUGUAUGAAACAUGAAACUGAGAGGACAGUUAAUAGAUGUGUCAUAGAUGGCCAUGAAAUAAGUUGAAAGUGAUGGAACCUACGAGAAGGAAAGCAUAUUGCGGAUCUUGGGUGCAGGAGGCAUGUCCAUGAAUAAAGAAUUUGAAAAGAAAGUAAGACGCCUUCGAGCUUCCAAGUUGGACGGAACAUCCAUAGCUGACUCCUUGACAGUAAGCAAAAGAUGAAGCCUCUUGAUCUGCAAAAUGACAAGAAAAAGAAGCAAACCACUUAGACGCUCCUCAUGCCAAAGAGAGAUCAUGUUUAAUGAAAACAAGAAUUAGACAAAUGAAAGAGAAGAGCCUUGCUUUUUCUUUCCAGGCUUCCUUUUGAGAGAAAACUGGGAACUGAAGCUGGCUGAAAUAUUUGCGCUGCUGAUGAAGAGGGGUCAUGACGUCGUACUUGACAUAAGCUCCAUUGUGUGCAGUCUCUAGUAAGCUAUGGAUUGAAAACUCUAUAUCAAAGUGCUUAAAACAGAAAAAAAAAAUGUUUGACCAGGUUCAUGCAAAUGGUCUUCUUACCUUGGAACUUCUUCGUCCAUUAUGUCUCUAGUCACCACUUCUAACAUGUUCAGCAAGACAAUUACAAUCUGAUCCUUGUCCUCCUCUCUGUUUUGUAUCUGUUGCAAGUAGAACAAACAAGCUCAGUAAUUUCCUUAAAUUCAUGCAAAUUUUGGCAGAGAUGUUCAGCAUUCGUACCAAAUAUUCGAUUAGCUGAACAAACUGGCCAUACAGAUCAGGAAGAGAACUCAGGUUCAGUUCUGUUAUCAGUGUUUCUUUCUCGAUGUGUUCAUCAAUCUUGGAGAAGAUAUCAUUUAUGACCCUGGACAAGAACAAGUUAGAAAAAGGCGGUUGGAACAAAGGAAAAGAGAUUUUAAUAACUUACUGUCUUUCUCGUUCUCCAAUAACCAAAUAAUUAAUGAGAUUCUUGAAAGAGGCAUAGCACUCGCUAACUGCACAAGUCAUGUAGCUGUCAACAGCCAGUCUCUUUUUCAGUUCACGGUCUUUUCCAUUGCUGUCUUUGGCCAUAUCCAAAGCUAUUGGGAUCUAUGACAUUUAAUCAGGAGUGCAUCAGAGCAAGAAAAAAGGAAAUGUAACACCAGAAGACAUAAUAAGUCAUAAGAUAAAUCUUCACCUUACUAGCCAGUAGAAAAGGUGGCCACCGGAUAAGAUCCAAAUCAGGGUCAGACCAAUAUGGCACAAGCAAAAGUUCCAUUUCCCUGUACACAAACCAACAUUAUCACAUAUCAUUAAUUUCAGAUUGAGACAAAAGAUAAAUAUAUAUUUGAAGCCAGACUUUACCUAUCACUAAUCAAAUCCUCUUCUCGGAAACUACUGAUUAUUUUGUUCCACAUCUGAGCAAACCGCGCUGCUUCCUUGUCUUUACUAGAUGGUAGCUGGAUACCAAAACAGAGAACACAACCUUCAAUAAAGUUCUGAUAAAGAGACAGUGAAAGCAGCUGAACAUAACAGCGGUAAUAAAACCUGAUCAAACUUCCGAGAGAAGGUCGCCUUAAAUCCCCUUUUCUUUGUAUCGUCGCUGUUAUCAUGUGGUACCAAGCAAUCAUUAAAGGCCCCUGGUAUGGACUGGAAUCUUGACCUCAACAUUGCAAGUGUCCGGAUCUGAAGUGAAACAAACUUCUUUCAAGAGACUAUCUCACUUGGUAACUAAACAAGUGAAUGUAUGCCACUCCGUUAUGUAAAUUAAGUAGUCCUAGUUGUUUUUUUAAUACCUCUCCAAGACGGCGGAAAGCUCCAUUCAAACCUCCAACCAGAGUUGAGACGAUAGCAUACCAUAUUUGAGUGUCCAUGAAAUAAACCUGCAUAUAGAAGUUAGCAUAUAAUAAGGAGAAACAACAAGAACGAAAGAGAAUAUAAGAAUUAACAAUAUGUGUAAAAACUCACGAGAAUAACCGGUGACCACAGUGCAAUGACGACUCCUAAAUUAUUCUUUGCUGCAGAAACAAACAAAACAACGACAGAGUUAUUAGACAAAAUAGCAUUACACAAUAAUAACAAAUCCCAACAUUCUAUAUUCCAUUACCAUGAGGGAAAAACUCAUGCCAGCUGUAGACGGAUAUAUGGAUUCGCAUUAUAUCUUUGGUUGGACCAACAAGGGGCUUAAUCUGUUUUAAAGAUGGAAAGCAUGAGAAAUAUACAUUGAUGGACUGAUAUGAAUGUCAAUAGAAUCUCAGUGCCUGUUAAUAGAAAAGGUUCUUUCAUAUUUCUCUUGUUACUAAACAUAGACAUCACUACAAAAACAUGUGAUAAUACCUCAGCGUAAAAACUAAAUGCCAGCUUUGAAACCAGAAGAACAAUCCAAAACAUCGUGUACCUAGAAAUCAUUAAGUAGUGUUAACAGACCAACCAACAUUUCACUAUUUCAGCCUGAGGGUGUAAAGAUUUUAGGCUCCUUACUUGAAAAGUGACAACGCACUCUCAUGCAUACCCCUUCCUAUGUACAGCCGAGGCUGUACCACACAACAACCAUGAUAAGUCAGAUAUUUUCGGUUCAAUACAAACAUUUAAUCAAAGAUAAAAGGCACAUGGAUAAGGUCGUACCUGAGACCACCACAUCAUCAGCAUCAUUAUCUUGAAGUCCGAUCUCUCGAGAUACCGUCGAAUGAACGGAAACAAAAACAGCAACGCAGAAAGCAUGUUCGGGGACAAGUAGAUAAGAAUCGCCACAAUGAAAAGGGAAGGCGAAUUAUGGCUGUGUCCACCAAACCAAUUCUUUAUGGUCAGCGCAAAGCCAGAAGCGUUUUUCCAGCUGUAGGCGUAAGCAACCGGCAUGACUAUAACCCACCCUGCAGCCGCACCAGCCUUCAAGACGUAUCUGAGUUUCACAUAGUGUGACAUGCUGUGUCUUGCCUUCCAGCUCAGGGCUAUGUCAAGGAGAGCUGUGAAAUAUUAAGAGAAAACAGUCAGAAAACUGAUAGGAAACAACAGAAUUUUUUUAACAGUGUAAUGCAUCAUCACCUUGUGCAAGCUUUAGUACAGCUGCAGUAAUGAAAAUGCUCAGAACCUUUAGGAAGACAUCACCCUGAAAGAUGGCACUCAACUCUCCGGAUCCAUUCCAUGCAAUAACAAUCAUUGCCUUAACAAGAAACGAUACAUCAAAUAACACAACAGGUGAUAAAAAAUACAAUAUAAUUGGAAGAUAAGCAUACUAAAUACGUACUUGCAAACACAGGAUGUAGAAACUCCACAUUCUAUCAAAGCUUCUAAAUAUAUGCCAGAAGGAGCGUAUCUCAACAAAAUUGACUUUUCCCAUCCACCGAUCUCCACUAUUUGAUUUUAUCUGCACCAUUGUGAACAAUAAAACAAUAAAUUAUAGAUACAGAAAAUUUGAGACAAUUGUUUAGUCUCUAUUACUCAUACCUCGCUGUUCUCAACUCGAAGUUCUUCAGCUGUCAGGCAAAAGAAAUCAGCAUCAGCUCGCAGAGGCCACCCUAAGCGAAAACAUCGAAUUGACCUGCAAAGUUUACAGGCAACAAUUGGAUUAAGACCACCAUUAAUUAUGAUGGAUAGCAUGAGAUUCCAAAUAGUUUAUAAGCAUUUACCAAAAAUACUCAUUCAAGUCAUCAUAGUUUCUCCAAACAGAAUGCUUUGACUUUCCAUCUCUACUUCUCUUUGCUUCCUGUAACACACAAAGAUCAUUGAAGGAAGGCUCGAGAAGAACCACCAUAAGUUAAAUCAAAUAUAAACCUUUGCUAUUGUCUUGUAUAUAGGAGUCACUACUUUCUGCAGGAAAGCUUCAUCGUCACCACCAUAAGCUGGCUUUACAUGCUCCCCUGUUAGAGAACUAACACUACCAGCCAACAUACCAUACAACUCGAAAGCCAUCUGCACAUAUACAAAAAAAAUUAAAAUUAAACUUAAACAGCUAGGAAAAUGUUAAAUCUUCUUCUCAAAUAAUCAGAAACUGAAUUGGAUCCGUACAUGGUGGUAUAUAUAACAGAGGCAUUCUGGCAUGAAUCUCAGGUUUGCUGCUUCUCCCCAGAUCAGAAGAUAAAGUCCCAUGUAGAGCAAUUUACGCUGCUGUACCUCUUGUUGAAUAGUCGGCAACCUUCAAAUUCCAACAAGAGGAUAAAUUAGACAGAAAGUAUUAUAGUCUGGUAAGUUAAUAAAGUAUGAAAUCUCACCAAAGACUACUUUUCCGACCCAAGUACUUGCACCACUUUUUGUAGUUUCUGAACAGUUUCUUCAUCACUAUGGUCAAGGCCCGAUCAUCCAACUAGAGAAGUUAUUGCACAACAAUCCCUUCAGCACAAAUGCCUAAGCAAAAAGCAAAAAAAAAAGACAACAAAACGCAUACCUUUGGUUCUUGUUCUGGUCUUGGAUAUUGUCGGAUGUGGACAUUAGCAAGUAACAAGAUCAAGUGCUCUCGUUGAUUGGAAACACUAUCUUCCUGCACUCAAAUUGUUGAAUAAAAAUUCAGUAAAUACAAAACUUUCCAAGUCAGAAUAUUCUCUAACAUAAUCACCUGGAAACCAAACAUGGACUGAAGCCAGUCUAGAAUGUCUUCGUCUAUUUUCUUCUUGUGACCUGCUUUCCAUGGCAAUCCCCUUAUAUUUCUAAGAGCGGUGACAGCAGCUUGUAUCUGCAGAACAUCAUUCAAAACAGAUUGCUUAGAGUAAAAGACAAUUAUAAAAAAAAAAAAAAAACAGAACAGUAAAAAGCUAAGCAGGUGGAUAAAAAAACCUCAGGCAAUCUCAUUAUAGCCUGAUUCUGACUAUCAGGGUCUAGGGGAAGUAUAUUGUAAGGCUUGUAAAUCUGUGUCUUCUCUUCCACCUUCUUCUGCUGUUGCAAAAUCUACAGCAGAAGAAGGAAAAAGAAAAAAGAUGAUAAGAAACAGAUGUUGAUCAAUAAUACUACAUUGGAUAAUAUCUAUUAUCAGCUUCACCUUUACAGGCACUGGCACAUCUUCUGUCUGGUUAACAGCCUUCAAGACUUCAAAGAGAACGGAAGCAGUUUGAUAGGCCUUUGUAAGUUGAGCACUAAAGGUAAAAAAGUAUGAAUUGAAAACGCAGUGAGAAGAUAAAAGCCCCAAGUUUGAAUAAGUUUUUGUAUUCAGUCAAAACACAAACUAACCGGUCAGCUUUAUCAGCAGCAUUCAAAGCGUGGAUGUACUUCUCGUAGUAGUGUUGAUAAAACCUCUGCAUCUCACGCGCAUCACUCUUUUGCCUUCCUGCCAAAGUUGUUUCGUUCUCCUAGUAAAACCAAAAUCAAAACCGGCAUGAGUUCACAAAGAUGUUAGUGAAAACCAUAGUGUUGACAUUCAUUCACCCUUUCUAAUCGUUGAAGAAGAGCAGUCUUAAACUGGCGAACACCACGUCCACUCGAUGUCGGAUCAAGCCUAUGCGCCUUCUCAAAUGCGUAAAAUCGACCUGGUAAAAUUAUAUCAUCGAAGAUCAUUAAAGAUGAGUAAGUGAAGUUUCAUCAAUCACAAUCAAAAGCAAACUCACAUAAGUAAGCAACUCGUGGGUUACUAGCUUCAACUUCAUUAGCCACACGAAGAAUCGGAGCAAUCUCCACUAAAGAAGAUGGCACCACUUCACUAUCUAGCAUAGCCUCUCCGAGACUACCAAGGGUCUGAGUCCGUUGAAUCGGCCUGUGCGGCCGAGACGGACCACUCUCCCUUCUUUGAGACAUCUUCUAAUAUCUUCCGACAGUCAGUAUGAACUACCAAAUUUAAGUACUUGUCAAAAAAAACAGUGAAAUUAAAUAUCCUAAAUAGUAGUAAGAUGUUACUUUAAUAGGUAAGCAAACUUUCGAUUCAUCUUUGCAAAAGGUUUAAUCACUAUAAACCACGUAAUAAACGAGAAAAGCUAUCUUAUUUUUUUUGAAAAGAAACAAAAGCUGCAGACGAUGUAAAGCACAAACCUUUAGCACAAUUCAACAAUCCAUUAGCCAAAUUCUGAUUCUACAAACAGAAAGUUCUAAUCUUUACAAAGCUUAUAACCAGUUUAAGCAAGCUAAGAACAAAGACCUAGAAGAUGGAUCAUCAUGAGGUAAGUAAAAAAAAAAACAGUGAAAGUUGAAUUUUUUCGAAACCAUAGAAUCAGAUAAGUGAAACCCACAAUCAAAACAAGGAAAAUUCAAAAGACCCAGAAUCUGCCAAAAUCGAAACACAGUGAAAUGACCUAAGAUGAUCAAUUACCUGACGAGAAACGGAGGACCAAAUACUCAAGCAAGCGAUUGAUGAGCAGAAAGUCAAAGUCAGCAGCUUUAUUCUUCGCCGGUUAAACGGGUCUCCGGCGACGAGAGUCGACUAGAGAGAGAGAAAACGCCGGAAGAGGAAAGCAACGGCUUCGAGUCAGGCGCCAAAUUUCUAUAUAGGUAGACCUUUCCUUUUUAGCAGCCUUUCAUUUCAACCACUAAUAAUUUGCCACGUCAUUAUUACUUAAUGACGUUUUUAUAUUUUUGGAAGCCGCUGAUUCGUUUUCCUUUUUUACUAUAUUUUUAUCUUUUUCUUAAUGUACAUUAUGGUUCGAAAAGUCAAAUGAGUAUCAUUACGUCCAAAAUAAUGAUUGUCACAGUUUUGUAUUCUAUUGGAUAAAACAUAAAUAAAAGAGCUCAGAACUUUAUUUUAAUUGACUCGUGGAUAUUGUAUAUUAGUUCAGUUAUUAUUAUUCUCUGUUCCUGAAUAUAAGAUGUUUAGGUAGAAACACACAUAUUAAAAAAACUAUUUUUUGUCUAGAAAAUAUCAUUAAAACUAUAAAUUAAUAAUAUUCAACCAAUUACAAAAUAGACUAUUAAAAUAUGAUUGGAUACACAAUUUUUAAUAAAGUAAAAGUUACCUAAAAAAAUGAAAACAUCUUAUAAAUUGGAACAUUAAAAUUCUGUAAAACGUCGUAAUUUUACAAACAGAGGAAUUAUUCAAGAUGUUUAUUAAUUAUUUAAUAUGAGAUAUGAUGUAUCCAUGACUCAUCAAUUUUGAGCAAAGCGUUUGUUGGACUGCAAUGUCAUCAAACUUGAUUUUCCUUCGAAAUUUUUAUAUAAGUGUUUCUCUAUAUAUGAUCAUCAUAUAUUAAGAAGAAAAUAAAUGAUCAUAGCGACUAUUAAACAUUUAUUCUAUUAGCUUGUCGUCUAAUCCAACUAGUAGUGGUUUUUGUUGCUGAGGUCUCAUGCAUGUCGUAAGCGAGUCAAGCUCUCAUUAGUCAAGAACAGUGGUCUGAGAUAGUAUUAUUCUAGGCUUUCUAGCUAAUUCACACAUUUUCUUCUUUCUGAUAAUUAAAACUAAAGAAUAAAUGCACAACUUUCCUACCCACUAGAUAUUUCCAGUAGUAGUGUAUACACUUUAUCAUCAUUUUUCCUCCUUAUACAAGUAGCUUUCUUUUUUUUUUUUUGAUCAAAAUACAAGUAGCUUUCUAUAAAGAGGUACCAGCUAUGAAUAAACUAUCAUCAUUUUCUGGUUGCCAAAAUAAAACUAUAUUCAUAUAUAUAUAUAUAUAUAUAGCAUAGAAAAUCGGUUCGAAAGAUAUGAUGAAUAUUUGAUGACGAAUACUUAACUAACAAGCUGACGUUUUGUUUCUCUUGUUUAACACGGGCUCAUGUCAUUUCUUGUUUUCUUAAUCAAUCAUGAAUCAAAUCCCUUAGAGCAUCAGCAUUGGUCUAAGGGAUAUUAAAAUAAUAAAAAUCAAUGAACCUGUCUCUUGAGAGUUCACUCCGGUGUACCCGGAUUAUCACUGUAGCGCGGGCCCCACGACACGUGGCGGCCCGCGAUUGGUCCUAUUAAUAUAUAUUUUUUUUUUAAUACAAAAAUCAAACAGAAAAAAAAUAAUAAAAAAAUGUUUUGUGAACCCCUUCCAUGGGUUCACUAAUGCUGAUGGUCUUACCUAUUGCCAAGAAGGGAAUGCAACUUGACGAUUGUGUCAUCUUCCUCGGCCGUAAUAUUUCCUCUUUUCAAGUCCAUUCUCAAAUAGUUUAUCCACCUUAAUCUAAUUUAAUAUUAAUUAACAGUAUUUUUAUAUAUUUAUCAACCAUCUUUAUAUACUUUUACAUACACAUACAUGUGCACAUUGACGUGAGCACCUUAUAACUAAGUAUUUACCACAAUUGAAAUAUCUAAUUUUUUUGGAAGUUAAAAUAUUCUUUUUCUUAAUGUUUCUUUCACUAUCGACCAAAUUGUAGUAAAAUGAUUUGUCUUAAUAAUUUUUUUUUCUUUUUUUUUAAACUAUUAUCCGUUUAGAAACUAUAAUAUGAAACUAUUGGUUCAACAUCACGACUAUCUAAGAAAACAAACAAGUUAUAGUAAUUUUUGAUUAUCACAUAAAAAAAACCAAAAAAUCAAACAUUUUAACCAAACAAACCAAAUAAAUAUUGAUUUAAAAUGAUAGUUAUAUUUUAGGUGAUUAAAAACCAAAAAAACAACCUAAAACCGAACUGAUAUCCAGAUUAAUGUUUAUUUAUUAAAAAAUAGCGAAACUAAUAAUCACAUUUCCGUGCAAUGCGCGGAUUAUUACCUAGUUGGAGAUUAAAUUACAAAUAAACUUUAUAAAAAAAAACUUUAUAAACAAAGGAAUUUGAACAUUAUCUAACAUGCAAAAACAAUAUUCAAACAUAAUUCACCAGAAACUACUGAAUCAUAUACGUGGUGACGAUGAAGGAGAAGCAAGAGAAGAAGAGAGACUCAUGGAAGAAGGAGAAAUCUCGCCGCCUGCAGGCAUAUCCUGAAGAACCGCUAGAAUCCGGCUGAUGCUCAUGGAUCUCGCUGACCGGAAACUAUGAAGUCUCUUCAUCGUGAUUGACUUAGAGAAAACACUCGAAGAUCUUCAUCGUGUUUGACUUAGAGAAAACACUCGAAGAUGUAGACAGAAUAAGAUAUACAAGAGCUUGAACCAGAGCGAAAAUGCUCACUUUCAUCAGCAUACCUUCCAAGCUUCCUUCCAUUAAUGAUAUUAAGAGUCACACAAGAAUUAUAUACUGCACCGUUGACUUUGUUAUUGUUGUUCUUGUCUUAAGAUGGAUCGAUGAGUUAGAGAUUUAAUUUUUUCAGGCAAAGUCACUUGUUUAAAUAGGGCUUGACACAAGAGUGAGCCUUAUUUGACCAGAGUCAAGAACGUCGAAGUAACGAAAUAAAAUUAUAAUAUAGUUUAUAGAGGCCUUAAAUUUCCAUUAGAACUUUCAAUCAUAUCUGGUCAAAGCAGACGUGAAGUUUUCGAUUAAAAAUAUUCUAAGACAAAAUGAUAUGUACUAGAAACAGAAUGAAAAUUCAAGAUUUUAUCUUCGAAAACAAAACGACAAAGAUCAUGUUGUAUUUAUUUAGUUCAUGUGCUUAAUUAUUCUCAACCUAAUGUAUCAAUAUAAGUAACAUGCAUGCACUGACGCACAUGAUGGCAUGAACAUACGUGCGCGCGUACGUAAGAUAUAACCGUAUAUAUAAAGGUUUUAAAACGUGAACGAAAUAAAUAUCUGUUUGCAUUAUAUCAAAUAAUGAGUCAUUAAGACAUAAAUGUUCAAAUUGUGAUCAAUUGAGCAUCUAAAACCUUCAGUUAGAUUACCCAAACCCACUUUAUGCCAAAGACCUCAUGAUAUUCUAACAAUUUGUGCGCUUCAUCAAACUGAACUUCACUGAACUAGUGAAAAUUUUACCCGUCUGCAUCCAUUCACAUAUCGCACAGCUAGAUAAUCAAUCAUAGUUAAGCUUCAUUAUUCUUUGAGAGUAGCUCUCACUACACGUUGAUGUCCUGAUGGAUCUCCCGAAAUGUUUCUGCAGCGUUGCUGGUUCGGUCUAAUGGUAUUAUUUCCCGUCAUCAAAUCAUCAUCCUUCGACAAUGAACUCUUCAUUCUUAGACACAACUUCAUGUGUGAAUGCAUCUUCUCGGGUUUGAAUGACUUCCCACAUUGCCUAUAUUAUGAGUUACCAUCCAUUUUAAUUACAUCAAUCCUAAUAAUAUCAUUAAGUGAUAAAAAAUAGUUAGGCUUACGAGCAUAGUGGAGCCAUUGAAGGCUUGCUUGAAGCCACCUUUGGUUUACAAAAUUCAAUUGUGUCUUUCAUCUUUAUGGCAUUCCAUGCCCCUUCAAAGCUUUUUCUAUAUAACCAAAAGAAAAAACAUGUUACCAAUUUGAUAUAAAUUGUUGAUAUAGUAUAACAAAUAUUAUAUAAUUUAAUUAGCUUGAGAGCGCCAAUGAUAUGAGAACUAGUCAGCUAAAAAGUAAUGAUUUCUAGUUGAAAUAUAUCAAAGAGUACUAGUCCCAAUCAUAUGCGGCAGUAACAGCUAAACAGUAACGAUUUAAAUAUUUAAAUCGUUAAACAACUAUUAAUAAAUUGAUUAAAAAUACGAGUAGGUAGUACUUUGGAGCGUACCGAGCAUUGUGCUGUUGGUAUUGGAAUCUGGGUUCAUCUUCCCAAGCCGCACCAAAAGACCUUGACGCAGACUUAUUCAAAGGCACUAAUACGGCGUCGUUCGUGUCCAAACCACCGCACUUUAUCAAAUUCCUUAGCACUUGCGAGGCACGCGCGCUCGAAUAGCUCUUACCUUUAAUAAAACUCGAAGACGACGUCGUCGACGAUACACUUGUUCGACCUGACUCUGUAUCGUUACCCGACACUUUUCCUGUCGACCCGUCUCCUUGGCCGGAUACUUUUUUCAGACCUGGUUUCUUUAGAACGAACGUUUCUUCUUCGUUUGUGGUGGAUUCAUCGGUGACCGUCGACGUUGUCGCCGUCGAACGUUGAGAGCAGAAGACGGGAGACUCUUUGUGGAUCAUGUCCGACGUAAACUUCGACUUCAGUAGAUUUUCUUUAGCGUCAAUACUGCCGUCACCGACGUUUCUUGUCUUCCAAGCUUUCUUUUCCGGAUGAGGAGACUCCUCUGUUUUAAAAUAUUAAGAACCCUAAAUUAACCUCAAUUCAUGGAAUAUAGUGAUAACUACAUGACAUACCCUUUGGAUUGUUUAGAAGAAUCUCAGAUCCUUUGAGAACGUAUUCAUUAUCGGAGAUGGGAGUAAUAAGAUCGUCAUCCAAUAAAUCUUGCCAGACAUAUCCAUUUUUAUACCUCCUGUAACAUCCCAAGAUCCAUAUUCAAACCACUGAUACAUAUAUAAAUCGGUAUAAUCAAUAAUUUACGUAAUAUUUUUACCUUUUACACGACCAACAGUAUUGGUCUGGCAUCGCACUCCCUCGUACACCCGCUAACCAUCGCUUCACAUCUACGUUUCUAACACAAUUUUAGAUGAGACUGAUCGAGAUAAAAGAGAUAAAGAGAAGAAAGAUCAAUCAUUAACCUCGAAGAAAGACACCAUUACGGGAGAGAUGAUGAACAGACAAGAGAUGAGGCUGGUCAACUUGACCAGAACGGCUGCUAAGGAAAUAUACUAAUUUCACUCUUCUUACUUCUCCAGCUCCACCAAUAUUACUUUCCAUCUGUCUUUUUUGUCUUCGAAUUUAUUCCUUGUUGAGUCUUUUGCAAAAGAACUUGUAGAAGCCAAAGGUACUUAGAUUUUAAACAAUAUAUAUGAAAAAGCUCUCAAAGAGUUUCGUUUAUCUGCUUUUCAGACAACAAAGCGACAAGAGAUCGGACUUAAAAACAAGUACAAGGGCUUCUUUUUCUUCUUUUGUUAACUUAUAGACUCUUUUAAAUUUGAUUUUUGAGAGCAAAGGUUAGUUUAUUCCCUGAAUUUUGAAUGUAUAAUAAAAUAUUUAGGUAGAGACAAAAAUAAGGCAUGUUUGUGGAGACAAACCCAAACAUAUGCAUAGACAGAGGUGAAAAAAGUCUCUGCGGAUUAACGGAAACUGCUUAUGUAUAGUUCGAGUCCAAAAAUUAAGCAUAGGGUUUCGAGCUCACUCACCUUUUGUUUUGCUUCCUUGGUAAAAUAUAUUUUUAUGGAAGUUCUCUCUCUUUAACUCCUUUUAAUGUUACCUUAAAGGCCUAAAAAGCUUAAACAGAAAAUAUCUUUAAGAAAGAAAAGGUCUUGAGUAAUAAAAUAGUUUUUUGACGUCGAAGAAAAAAAAAAAAAUCUUGCAGGAGAUAUUGAUGGAUUAUGGUUAAAGACUUAAAGUGGUCUUAGUCUUUGUAAAUCUAAAGAUAGAAAGAAGAGAGAGAGACUUUUUAGCAGAUUUGUCGUGAUUUAGUGAUUUAAGAGCAUGAUUAACUCAGGAUUCUUAGAGUGGAGUUAUUAGCGGAAGUUAAGAAACACCCACUAAAAAAAUCUCGGGUUAAUCAUUGUCUAACAUUUGCGUACCUACCACCUUUGAGAAAUUUAUUUUGUGUAUAUACGCAGGAUAUUUGUCUAUUAUACGAGAUUUUAAAAAUAUCCAACUUUUAGGUUUUACCAUAAACACAAUCCAGAAGACAAAAGGCAUAAACAAAUCCCAAUUAUUUGAACUGUAAUCUAAUAAGGGAAUGUUGAGUCGCCUAGGGAUAAGUAAUAUUAGAUGGAUAAACUAAAAUAUAUCUUUUCCUUUGAAAAGAACCAAAUAAGAAAUAAAAAUGAAGAUAUAUGAACUAAGAUGAUAAAAUACUAUCUCAUUUGAAGUGUUUCAAGAAAAGAAAAACUAUCUCAUUGAAUUUUUUGAACUAUCCCUUUAACAUGAACUCAUGACUAAAUCAAUUUCAUUCAAACUUACGAAAUUAUUUUGGCUAACACGUAAAAUAAAUAUUGACAAAUUAUUAUGGUAAAUAGUGAAAAUUAGAAUGUAAAUGAUCUAAUAAAAACACUCAAUAAGUUCUAUUUUGUACUCUGUAAUAAAGGAAGCCGAGUUAAUUAGAUAAAAAAUGAAGUGGUUAUAAUUAAUUUAAAAAGAAGGGGAAUAUGUAAAAAAGUAACUUAAAAUUAGGUAAAUAUUAUUGGGAAAAUUGUUUUUUUAGAACAAAAAAAUGAUAACUAUGUCCUUUUACACUAAUCUCAUAUACUUUAUGUCCCAUUAGACUAAUUAUUUUGAAAAUGGCAAUAAUACCCUUAAAGUUGUAAUUUUUAAAUAUAAUAAAUAAUGGGUUCGAUCGAUCCAAAAUUACAAGGUCGAAUGGAUCGAUCGAUCCUGAUCAUUAUUCAGAACAAAAAAAAACACGAAGCAUAUACAGAUCGACCUGGUCCAUUUCACUCGAUCGGCAAAGGUCGAUUUCAUACAGAUCGACCGAUCUCGAAUUAUAGACAGAUCGAUCUCGUGCCCAUGUAAGUAUUCCAAAUCGAUUUCCUGGUUUUCUCCGGUUAUAUCCGGUUUGAUUUCAACUUGAUUUGAACCGACCAAACACGAUUUCAACUCUUUAAACUCGAUUUUUUUUGGGAUGAAACCCAUAAUUUCUCAUCUCCUUCACGGACAAAGGGGAAAAAAAUCAAAGUCUCAAGUUCAUAAAACCUAACUCACUCAAUUUCACACUGAUUGGUAGAAAUAAUGUGAUUUUUUUGUGAAAAUUUUGUGAACAAGCAAUGGAAUAUAGAAGACGGCGUGAGAAGAAGGUUACCACGUUUUUUUUUGCUGUUUUUUUUUAAAAUCGUUUUUUUUUCAAAAUAUGAAAGUGGAUAUUCUCAAAUAUUUUGUUUUCAUAUUUUUUGGAACUGAUUUCUUAUCCGUAGAAUACAACUAAUCUGUAGAAAUCGAUUUUUACAGGGUUUUAGAAUUAUAGUAAUGUGUAGAUUUUGAUUUCUACAUGUUUUAGAUUUACAGUAAAUCUGUAGAAGUCGAUUUCUACGUGUUUUAGAUUUAUAUUAAUGUGUAGAGUUUGAUUUCUAAAGAUUUUAGAUCGGUAGGUUAAGCGCAGAAUAUGUAUUCUAAAUAUUUUUUGAAUAUUCUUAUUUACGUAAAUCACGUAUUCUAAACAUUGUAGAUUCAGUGAAAAAAAUAGAUUUCAUUUUCUACUUCGUAGAAUGCCAUUUCUACUUUAUUUAGAACAUAAUCUGAAAAUUAUGAUUUAAACCCUUUUAGAACUGAAAAAAUACCACUAAGUUCAUAUAUGUAUUUUAUCAAUAGUUACUAUUUUCCAAAAAAAAUUUUGUUUGUAAAACUAUUUAUUAAAUUUAUUUUCAAAAAUAUUAAAGGAUAUUAUAGAUAAAAAUGACAUAAAAUAGAUAUUAGUCUAAAAAACGUAAUUAUCAUUUUUUUGCUCUAAAAAACAAUUUUCCCAAUAUUAUUUUGUACUUCAUAUAUACUCACCGGUGACAAAAAAAAGAGAUGAAUAUAUAUUCUUGCCUUUUAUAGAUCUUUGACUAGGACUAGCGUAUAUGUACACUAUUUUCUUUCUUAUAAUAUUCAUACUUUUCUGGUAUUCUCUUCAGUUUGAGACUUUGAAUAGAGCUCCUUCAGGAACGAUUGUUGUUAUUUCUCAUAACAUUUUUCUUUCUUGAAUUCUGACUUUCUAUAAGUUCUACCACGAGGAAGAUCGUAUAUAUACGUUAAUAAAUCAUUAAUAUACAUCUUUCCCAAAAAAAAUUCGUAGAAAGCAGUAAAUAACCUUUUCACGUAAGACUAGCUAGUUUAAAAGAUAAUUAAUACCAUUAUAUCCGAGAUAAAAAAUAUGAUAAAACGGGUUGAACAAAAAUAUUCUUUUCGAGCAAAUUAAAUUAAUCGUUUCACAAUGAGAAAUUUCGAAUUCUCCAAACUGAAUACAAUUACAUUUUUCAAGAUCCUUCACAUUCAUUCUGGCUAAUUAAAUUAAAAAAAAAACAUAGAUUCAAAGAGCAUAUAUGUAUAAUACAACUCAUUACCUGUGAAUUCCAUAGUGGUGCUCCUCUUCUUCAUCAUCCCCAUCAUCCUCGUACAUAGACUUCAUAAAUGGCUCAGCAUCAUGAGUCGUCUUUGGCACAAUUCCAAUGGCUUCUUGAUUGUUACCGACACCUCCUCCGAUCGCUCCAACAGCUGUUGCUGCAGCUGCUGCUGCUGCUGCGGCUUGUCUGUUAACGGCAGAGAAUUGUUGAAUGACUAAAACCGACGCAUGCAUUGUGAAAUUCGACGAAGCUAAUGUGUCCCCUAUUGUCCCUAGCUCAGGACUACUGCUCCAGUCGUUUAAACCGGCGGUCACCGGAGAAUCUGAGUUGUACCCUCUUCCGACAACGUAAAGAUCGUACGAGUUAUUGUCUUCCAUUUCUCUGAUCGUAGAUAUCGUGUCUUGACCAUCAUUAACCACUUUUUCGAUAUAUUUCACGGAGGAAUCGUUCAUAGUCUUGAAGUUGAACUCAUAGAUGCACUCGUCGUCGACUUGUUUCUCCCUCUCGUACUCGGCCGCAACUUUCCCGGCCGAGACUAAAGCUUCGCGUCCCGGGACGAAUCUUACUACGGUGAGAUUGAUCUGGUGUUGUCCGACCAUCCGCCAUGCGUAUGAUAACGCCUCCCGGUCGUCUGGACCUCCCACGAAGAGCAUUGCCACUCCUCUCUUCGUGGGUUCGCCAUGGAACGACUCGGAACGGACCAUGGCCAUGCCACGGUCGACUAAAAUCCCUACGGAGCAAGGCGCAUGGUUCAACACGUUUUGGUUGAUGUCGGCGUGAGACGAGUUUCCUUCUCCCAUCCGACCGUCUGGUGUCAAGUGUUUGUGGUAAGGCAAUAUGAUGAAACAAACUCGCUUGUCCUCGGCUAAAGCGCAUAUGUCUUCGUGCAUGGUCGUGUAAGGAGAGACUGCGGUG
rnacentral:lncRNA from 1 species